GCGGUCUUGCCCCGAUGUUGUGUC
rnacentral:siRNA from 1 species